UGGGGAAUUUUGGACAAUGGGCGCAAGCCUGAUCCAGCCAUGCCGCGUGCGGGAAGAAGGCCUUCGGGUUGUAAACCGCUUUUGUCAGGGAAGAAAUCUUCUGAGUUAAUACCUCGGGAGGAUGACGGUACCUGAAGAAUAAGCACCGGCUAACUACGUGCCAGCAGCCGCGGUAAUACGUAGGGUGCAAGCGUUAAUCGGAAUUACUGGGCGUAAAGCGUGCGCAGGCGGUUUUGUAAGACAGAGGUGAAAUCCCCGGGCUCAACCUGGGAACUGCCUUUGUGACUGCAAGGCUUGAGUGCGGCAGAGGGGGAUGGAAUUCCGCGUGUAGCAGUGAAAUGCGUAGAUAUGCGGAGGAACACCGAUGGCGAAGGCAAUCCCCUGGGCCUGCACUGACGCUCAUGCACGAAAGCGUGGGGAGCAAACAGGAUUAGAUAGCCCUGGUAGUCCACGCCCUAAAACGAUGUCAACUGGUUGUUGGGAAGGUUCCUUCUCAGUAGCGUAGCUAACGCGUGAANUUGA
rnacentral:rRNA from 1 species